UCGAGUUCCUUAAAGAGAGUUAUCUUCCACCCCUAGGUAUUCACUACCUACCCACCUAUGUCGAUUUCCGGUACAUAUACCCUUUUGUUUAAAGGUCAUUCGAGCUUUCCCUAGGAAUAUGACGUGGGUGACUUCAAUGCUGUAGCGCCUUGUGCUCGAACAUUGGCUUGAGACAUUUUCUCUACCCCUUCUUACCCUGAAAAAAUAGGGGCACCUUACGUUCCUGAAUCGAUAAUCAGUUUUCGGCUAACCGAGCUUCUUCCGUCCAUCAAGACCAACAAGGGGUAGUAUAUGAUUAUUCACUUGUUGUCCAUCGACUAUGACUUUCGACUUGAUUUUAGACCAUGACUCACCCUCCAUGAAUGAACCUUGCGGAGGAACCCUUAUGUUUUUUUGGCAUUGGAUUCUCACCAAUGUUUGCAUUACUCAAACCGACAAUCUUCCUUCCACUUCGUCCACCACUACUUGCGCAGGGGCUUCCUUCUAAAGCAGAAUGCUCCCCUACAGAUGUAUUUUUACAUCCCACAAUUUCAACAGAUCGCUUAGCCCCAUUCAUCUUCGAUGCAGGAGCACGCGAUCAAUGAGCUAGUACAUACUCUUUCAAGGGUGGCUGCUUCUAUGCAAACCCCAUGGCUAUCUUUGCAUCCCUACCUCCUUUAUCACUGAGCGAUCAUUUAGGGGCCUUAGCUAGUGAUAUGAGCUAUUUCCCUCUCAACAAUGAUGCUUAUCCCCCAUUGUCUCACUGGCCGAUAUUGAUACCUGUUAUUUUAAGGUAUAUCUAGUAUUCAGAGUUUUCCUUGAUUUGGUACCGCCCUUGUGACUCGCACUGAAAUAGUGCUUUACCCCUAAAUGUCUAGUCAACUGUUGCCUCUCAACGCAUUUCGGGGAAAACAAGCUAGCUCUGGGUUAGAGUGGCAUUUUACCCCUAGCCACAACUCAUCCUCUGAUUUUUCAACAUCAAUUGAUUUAGACCUCGAUUUAGUUUCACCCAAGCUUCAUCUUGAUCAUGGAUAGAUCACCCAAGUUCAGGUCUAUAAGCAGUGACAAUUGUCCUAUGAAGACUAGCUUUCACUACGGCUCUGAUGGGUUUCCUUAAUCAAGCCACUACUGCCUAUGAGUCGCAGGCUCAUUCUUCAACAGGCAUGCGGUCAAAGACCUGGCUCCUCCCACUACUUGGGACCUUACGAUUUCAUAUUCUAUUUCACUCUCCGAUGGGGGUUCUUUUCACCCUUCCCUUAGGGUACUACUUCGCUAUCGGUUAUCCAGGAGUACUUAGGCUUGCAAGGUGGUCCUUGUUGAUUCACACAGAAUUCCACGUGUCCCAUAUUACUCGAGUCAAAGUGUAAGCUAGUGAUGCUUCGGCUACUGGACUUUCACCAUCUAGGAUGUAGCAUUCGUGUUGUUUUGCCUAACAAUAUGACGCCGUAUUGCUUUAGGACAAAUACUAGCCAUUCAAUAUUUAACAAAGUUAUGGUCCACUCCGGG
rnacentral:lncRNA from 1 species